AAAGCAAAUCACUCUAUUUAUUACAAAAGGAUGCCAAGAAUAUUUACCGAGGUAAAUGUGAGAAAAGUUUGGAGAUUACGCUGCAGGUGGUGGUUAAAACAUCCCUUUGGCAAGCAGAUCCUCGCAUCCGAAAUCACGUCAGAGAUGCUGGAGCUUUCAACUUACAAAGCAGCUUGUGCUGCUCAUUUGUAUGAUUAAGAAUGCCAUUAUGUUCUGAAGGUUUACACUCAUUUACAAGAACACCAUGAGAGUGUUCUUUGCGAAUUCUUACAAUUACAUGUGGAGAAUUCCAUCGGACUAAACGUGAAAUUGCAAGGAGACUGAUCUUCAAUUUGGUUUGAAUAAUUGUACUUUCUUUAAU